AGAUUGAAGUAACAAGAUGGAUCUGAAGGAGGACUAGAAAAGGUCAGCAAAAUAUCAGCCACUUGUUUAUGAAAUUCCAGAUGGAAUUUGUUCACCAAGAAAUUAUAAUUCUGAUAUUGAUAUUAAAGGCAAAAGAAGUCUUACUACUGAAGGAAAGAAUGCCUCUCCCAGGAGACACAACAAUAAUUUUAUUGAACUGGAAAUUAAGAAUGCUACCUUGCCUCUUUGGGCUCCUCAUGUCUCUGAAUCGACAAAGGAGGGAGUUACUCUUACUUGUUGAGAUAAUUGAUCCUGACUAUCAAGGAGAAGUUGGGCUGCUAAUACACAAUAAUGGUAAGGAAGAGUAUGUCUGGGAUACAGGAAAUCACUUAGGGUGUCUUUGACUACUACGAUGUCCUAUGAUUAAAGUCAAUAAAAAAUUACCACAGUCUUUUCCAGACAGGUCUGCUAAAUGGCCCAGACCCUCAAAAAAUAGUUGGGUCACCCAACAGGCAAAGAAACACAGCCAGCCUAGGUACUUGCUGAGGGCAAACAUAAUAUAGAUCUGGUAGUGGAAGAAUGUAGUUAUAAGUUUAAGCUAUGAACAUUUGACCCAUUGUAGAAAUAAGAACUGUAAUAGUUAUGAGUAUAUUUUAUUUAUUUUGUUAUAAAUAUGUUUGCAUGUGUGUAUGUGUCUGCAUUUGUUUGUGUGUGUGGAUGUAACCAAAUUUUAUUCACUCUACAUGUGAAUAAGGAGUAACCAAAUUUUAUUGGGGUAACCAAAUAUGGGGUAUUUUAUUGUGAAUAAAAUAAAUUUUAUUCACUCUACAUUUUCUUAUUAAUUCUUCCUACUGAAUAAUUCUACUUUUCAUGGCAGAGUGUCUUUCCUGCCCUGUUAGUAUUUUUUUUUUUUUUUUUUUUUUUUUUUUUGAGACGGAGUCUCGCUCUGUCUCCCAGGCUGGACUGCAGUGGCCGGAUCUCAGCUCACUGCAAGCUCCGCCUCCCAGGUUUAUGCCAUUCUCCUGCCUCAGCCUCCCGAGUAGCUGGGACUACAGGCGCCCGCCACCUCGUCCGGCUAGUUUUUUGUAUUUUUUAGUAGAGACAGGGUUUCACCGUGUUAGCCAGGAUGGUCUGGAUCUCCUGACCUCGUGAUCCGUCCGUCUCGGCCUCCCAAAGUCUGUUAGUUUUAAAAAGCAAAUGACAAGCAUUUUUUUUUUUAACUAUCUUGCUUUGGGGAAAGAGUAAACAUUUAAAAAAUCACCAUAUAGUAUUUAGGAAAAAUACUACUGGUUUUCUUUUACUCCAGCUACUGCUUCUUCUAUGUAUGUGUGCUUGCAUCUAUCAGCUCAUAGACUUCAAGGAACUUGCUGAGACUGAAGCCUUUUGGGGGAAAUUACUUCUGGAUUUUUAAAAUCAUGGUUGAAAAAUAGGCAAAAGAUUCCCAUAUCCUUCAACCAUUCUUUAAAAAAUGGUGGAGGGAUAGGCAAAAUAUUCUUUUGAGAAUUCCAGAUAUUCACAAUUUAGGGGAUGAAAUUCAAACUACACAAAUCUUGACAGAAGGGGCUUUAACAUCCUAUCAAAGAGCUUGCCCAUCUUAAGCUGAGUAAUUGGGGGCUGUGACCACAGUCAGACGACCAGACAAAGGACAGGGAUGAAUAUUGUCGCCUUUUGUAUCCAACAGGGCAGGCAGGAUUCCCUUCUACAAGGAGGACUAUCAAAAUUAGCUGAGACCCCCUCAGGAGCAGGUGGUGGUGAAGGACAAAGAAGCAAGCUGCCAUGAAUGCUAUUCAUGGACUAUUUAUGUAGUCCAGAAAACCCCUGUCAACAUGCUCUGUUGAUGUCAUUUUUCUUUUAAUUUUUGAAUGGAAUUAAGCUGAUGAGUCAGAGUGGAUAAUUCCUUAACAAUAACUACUAUGGGAAGUUACAACUGACCUGUGGGGCUGCUCCUGGUGUCAGCAAUGUUUCUUUCUUCUUCUUCUUCUUCUUCUUCUUCUUCUUAUUAUUAUUAUUAUUAUUAUUAUACUUUAAGUUCACAGGGUACAUGUGCACAAGCGUGCAGGUUUGUUAUAUGUAUACUUGUGCCAUGUUGGUGAUAGCACCAUCAACUCAUCAGCACCCAUCAACUUGUCUCAUUUACGUCAGGUUAUAACUCCCAGUGCAAUCCCUCCCCUCUCCCCCCUCCCCAUGAUAGGCCCCAG
ensembl:lncRNA